rnacentral:lncRNA from 1 species
AUGGGAAGACAGCCUUUCGAGAAGCCAAACAGUCCCCCUUUCGUUUUUGUAAACGGGUGGCAAGUUACUUGCAUUACAAGACAGUAUAAACAAACGUUGAGUUGUUGACACUCGGGAAACCCGAAAAAUAAACAACCUUGAACUGCUUUGGCUAGAAAUGGAUGAGAUAAGUCCUGAAAAUAUUGAAGUGUAACACAGUAAGAGGUUUAAAAUUAUAAGAUGUCACAGUCCAAAAUUUGGUCUUACACAAAUAAUGGUUAAUACACGCCAUUUUAAUUUUCCCCCAAACUUAGACUUGGCGGUAUUGACCCAUCUACUUAUGAACGGGUCAAUUCAGGUUAU